GUCUUGUUAGCUCAGCUGGUAGAGCAUCUCACUUUUAAUGAGGAUGCCGUUGGUUCGAAUCCAACACAGGACACCA
rnacentral:tRNA from 1 species